rnacentral:ncRNA from 2 species
GACAAUUGAGCUUAGUCCGGCCAAGGGAAGAGGGGUGAAAAUCCCCCGCGGACCCGCCGCUGUAAGCGAGGACAAUGGGCGACGAUGCCACUGACAACAACUGUCGGGAAGGCAGCCCAGAGGAUGAAUCGCGAGCCAGAAGACCUGCCGGACAAACAAAGCCACA